GGGCACCACGCCCUGCCUAUCUCAGACAAGGAACUCCAGGCAGCAGUGGCGAAGCUAAGCAGCUCCAUCCUUAAGGGGCGGAGGCCGGCUCAUAUUUGCCUAUUAGGGCCGUGGGACGCCGAGGUUCUGCUGGGUCCCUCCUGGAAAUAGAUCCUUCCCAGCCAGCACCCGAAGUCAGCAGCAGAGGGCAAAGCACCUGGGCUUUAUUUAGCUCCAAGCUCCACGAUCCUCCUGGGACCAAAAAGCUGGACAUCAU
rnacentral:lncRNA from 1 species